AGGUGCGAUCAUACCAGCACUAAUGCAUCGGAUCCCAUCAGAACUCCGCAGUUAAGCUCGCAUGGGCGAGAGUAGUACUAGGAUGGGUGACCUCCUGGGAAGUCCUCGUGUUGCACUUC
rnacentral:rRNA from 1 species